rnacentral:rRNA from 1 species
AUGAACGCUGGCGGCGUGCCUAAUACAUGCAAGUCGAGCGAACGGACGAGAAGCUUGCUUUUCUGAUGUUAGCGGCGGACGGGUGAGUAACACGUGGAUAACCUACCUAUAAGACUGGGAUAACUUCGGGAAACCGGAGCUAAUACCGGAUAAUAUUUUGAACCGCAUGGUUCAAAAGUGAAAGACGGUCUUGCUGUCACUUAUAGAUGGAUCCGCGCUGCAUUAGCUAGUUGGUAAGGUAACGGCUUACCAAGGCAACGAUGCAUAGCCGACCUGAGAGGGUGAUCGGCCACACUGGAACUGAGACACGGUCCAGACUCCUACGGGAGGCAGCAGUAGGGAAUCUUCCGCAAUGGGCGAAAGCCUGACGGAGCAACGCCUCGUGAGUGAUGAAGGUCUUCGGAUCGUAAAACUCUGUUAUUAGGGAAGAACAUAUGUGUAAGUAACUGUGCACAUCUUGACGGUACCUAAUCAGAAAGCCACGGCUAACUACGUG